rnacentral:rRNA from 1 species
GAUGAACGCUGGCGGCGUGCCUAAUACAUGCAAGUCGAGCGAACGGACGAGAAGCUUGCUUUUCUGAUGUUAGCGGCGGACGGGUGAGUAACACGUGGAUAACCUACCUAUAAGACUGGGAUAACUUCGGGAAACCGGAGCUAAUACCGGAUCAUAUUUUGAACCGCAUGGUUCAAAAGUGAAAGACGGUCUUGCUGUCACUUAUAGAUGGAUCCGCGCUGCAUUAGCUAGUUGGUAAGGUAACGGCUUACCAAGGCAACGAUGCAUAGCCGACCUGAGAGGGUGAUCGGCCACACUGGAACUGAGACACGGUCCAGACUCCUACGGGAGGCAGCAGUAGGGAAUCUUCCGCAAUGGGCGAAAGCCUGACGGAGCAACGCCGCGUGAGUGAUGAAGGUCUUCGGAUCGUAAAACUCUGUUAUUAGGGAAGAACAUAUGUGUAAGUAACUGUGCACAUCUUGACGGUACCUAAUCAGAAAGCCACGGCUAACUACGUG